AUGGGCUACCUAUGGCGGGUGCGGCUCUCGUCGUUCGCGGCCGGUGCAUCGACGGCUUCAGCGGUGGGGUUCUUGCUCCUUUACAAAGACCACCUCCUGGCCCGCGCCGCCAUCGCCCGACAGGUGGAGGAUGUCAAAAGAAUUUCUGAAAAGCACUAUGAAGCACUGAAUCAUCAGAUCUCAGCUCUGGAAAACAGAAAAGAAUCAGGAACUAAUAAAGAGGCAUCAGAUUAA
rnacentral:rRNA from 1 species